GAUUGACGGUGUGUGUAAUCUUCCGGCCCAUGUCUUCUUCCGCAGUUUGUUUUUCGUUCGUCCCUCGCAAAACCCUAACUUCAUAGAUGCGGUGAUUUCCGGGUUCGAGUAUUUGGGUGGUGAGAAGAAGGGUCGAUAAGGCACGAGAUGCAGUGAGGUUUUGCUAUUCUUGGUGGUCAUUUUGAUCUACCCUUUGGAUGGUGUUCAAUGUUCAUGGUCCAAUCAAUUUCUCUUCGUAAUUUCUGAUGCCCCAUUGAUUUCUAUGCUAUGUAGCAGAAAAUGGAUAUGGGUCCUUGCCCAAAGGUCCACUCUUUGCAGCUCCGAAAAUCGUAUCAUUUUUUGGGAACUUUCAACUCUUUCUCACUUGCUCUAAGCAUGGAGCUCACAUUCUCUAGUAUCCGUGAUAAGCUGCUUCUAUGAUACCUAUUUCCCUUAUUUAGUCAAUUGCUCAAUGCGGUAUCCGAGACAUUCAUUGCCUCAUGAAAUUGUUUCGAGCAACUUUUUUAACCUUAAUGGCACAUGAGUGACAUGAUAGGCUGAUAGCUUCACAAUCAGUAUUUCAUUGGCUAAGUUGUUGGCAGUGUUUACAUUUUGACUAUUCACCUUCAGUUUAUUCUUGAUGUACUUUUAUCCUGUCUAACUCGAGCUUAUGAAAUUAAUCAUGAAGAGUGACUCGGCGUUUGGAGUAUAGGCAGAGUUGUUAUUGGAAGAUGCUAUAGACAGGUUGAUUUUUGAGUGUGAUAGGAAGAUUGGCAGAGCCAUUAAGCAUCUUCAGGAAGAGGAUGCCAAAGCUGCCAUCGCAAUUUCGCAUCUGAAGUCACCCUGAUCAAAGGAGCGGAGUAGGGAUCGGGAAUCGAGAAGAGACAGAGGCGGAGGAGACUGUCGGGGAGGAAGAGAUCACGAUAGUUACCAUGACCGUGAACACAUGGCAGAGACUUUGACUGAUCCCGAAGCUAUGAUUCGAGAAGUCAGUGUGGGUCGUGCUCCCGCUCCAAGGAAGGGGCUAUGAUCUCCACAGGUACUGAUUGCAUCAUACAUAACACAUCCACAUAGUAAUUUCAAUAUCUAUCUGAAAGAUAAGAGAAUGAUGAUCAGAAGUCCUAGUUACAGGGAUAGGUCAAAAGGAGAGAAUUAUAUGUGAAUGUAACACGUUGGAAUCCGCUUUUGGAUUUGUGGGUAGAAUUGCAUUAUCAAUUCAAGACACAUUCUGGAACUCAAGAUUCUCUUAAUCUCUUUUCCAUUUGUCUCUU